rnacentral:lncRNA from 1 species
UUAUCUAAGGAUUUAGCUACCCUUAUAAACUUGGUUAAGUUCUUGCUGGAGUGCUUGACUCUAUUUUUCCUUAUAUACCUUUGGUACCUUUUGAUAAACAAUCCCAUGUCCUCAUUAUUGGAGUUCUUGUCAUCUCUUGUUUCAUAAUCACUUUGCUUUAAUAUGUGAGGGCUUUGAGCUUGAAGUAUUUAGAGCAAUAUACUUCUUCUCUUCCACCUUGUCUUUACCUUUCUCCU